UACGUAGGGUGCGAGCGUUAAUCGGAAUUACUGGGCGUAAAGCGUGCGCAGGCGGUUUUGUAAGUCAGAUGUGAAAUCCCCGAGCUCAACUUGGGAACUGCGUUUGAAACUACAAGACUAGAAUAUGUCAGAGGGGGGGUAGAAUUCCACGUGUAGCAGUGAAAUGCGUAGAGAUGUGGAGGAAUACCAAUGGCGAAGGCAGCCCCCCUGGGAUAAUAUUGACGCUCAUGCACGAAAGCGUGGGGAGCAAACAGG
rnacentral:rRNA from 1 species